GACGUAGGGCGCGAGCGUUGUCCGGAUUUAUUGGGCGUAAAGAGCUCGUAGGCGGCUUGUUGCGUCAGCUGUGAAAACCCGCAGCUCAACUGUGGGCUUGCAGCUGAUACGGUUAGGCUUGAGUUCGGUAGGGGAGACUGGAAUUCCUGGUGUAGCGGUGAAAUGCGCAGAUAUCAGGAGGAACACCGGUGGCGAAGGCGGGUCUCUGGGCCGAUACUGACGCUGAGGAGCGAAAGCGUGGGGAGCGAACAGG
rnacentral:rRNA from 1 species